GUCGAAGGUGGGGCUGAUGACUGGGGUGAAGUCGUAACAAGGUAUCCGUACCGGAAGGUGCGGAUGGAUCACCUCCUAACAGGGAGACAACACAAUGAUUUUGAUGCCUGAGUACUUUUAUUCUUAGGCCGAAAUCCUGUCACCUUAGGUCGAUCGGUACCUCAGCUUUGAAGUCAAGGAUCAGCAGCAAUGUUGAUUGCUUGAUGGAGAUUUUUAGUUCCUAAACUUUGUCUAGGUCACACCCCAAAAGGGAUGAGACUCCUGGGCCAUUAGCUCAGGUGGUUAGAGCGCACCCCUGAUAAGGGUGAGGUCCCUGGUUCAAGUCCAGGAUGGCCCAUUCGGUGUUGGGGGUUUAGCUCAGUUGGUAGAGCGCCUGCUUUGCAAGCAGGAUGUCAGGAGUUCGAGUCUCCUAACCUCCACUGACCGAACUUGAUUCCCAUCUCCAAUUUUUUGGAGUUGAGCUCGAUUGGAGUGUGAUUUAGAUGUGUCCGCUGGAUGACCCCAGCUUCCUGUCAUUCCAAGUUUUAGAUUUUAAGUCUUAAAUUUGGUUGAUAAGAUGCUGGGCUCGGAUCAAAUAAUCAAGCAAUUGAUGAUUUGAUUUGAAGUUCUAGCAGAACCUUGACAACUGCAUAGGUGAAGUCUGGAAAAACAAAGCAUCUUACAGAUGCAUUGUUUUGAAUCUGAUCUUCUGAAAGGGAGAUUGGAUCUAGAACAAUGAAAAUUCUUUUGAGCAAGAGCCGAGACUCUUAAAUGUUCUUUGAUUCGUGUCGAGCGAAUCAGAGUUUGAUCUUGUUUUUAGCAAUAAAAACUUGAGAAUCUGCUUUCAACGGCGGUAAGCGUUUAAGAGGUUAAUUGGUCAAGCUACAAAGGGCUCA
rnacentral:misc_RNA from 1 species